rnacentral:rRNA from 1 species
ACCCCUACGGGAGGCAGCAGUCGAGAAUAAAUCUCAAUGGGGGAAACCCUGAAGGAGCGACACCGCGUGGAGGAUGAAGGUCUUCGGGUUGUAAACUCCUGUCACCCGGGAACAAUGCUAGCCCAGGGAAACUUGGAUUAAUACCUCAUGUGGUCGCAAGCUCCGAAACUGCAUUCGAUACUGGCGUGCUUGAGGACUG